rnacentral:rRNA from 1 species
CCUACGGUGGCUGCAGUGAGGAAUAUUGGUCAAUGGGCGCGAGCCUGAACCAGCCAAGUAGCGUGAAGGAUGACUGCCCUACGGGUUGUAAACUUCUUUUAUAAAGGAAUAAAGUGAGGCACGUGUGCCUUUUUGCAUGUACCGUAUGAAUAAGGACCGGCUAAUUCCGUGCCAGCAGCCGCGGUAAUACGGAAGGUCCGGGCGUUAUCCGGAUUUAUUGGGUUUAAAGGGAGCGUAGGCCGCAUGUCAAGCGUGCUGUGAAAUGUCCGGGCUCAACCCGGGCCUUGCAGCGCGAACUGGCGUGCUUGAGUCCGCGGAAAGCAGGCGGAAUUCGUCGUGUAGCGGUGAAAUGCUUAGAUAUGACGAAGAACCCCGAUUGCGAAGGCAGCUUGCUGCAGCGGAACUGACGCUGAUGCUCGAAAGCGCGGGUAUCGAACAGGAUUAGAUACCCCUGUAGUC